CAACCCCUAGUGAAAUUUCUGCAAGCUCAGAGCCUCGUUUUUGUAAUGUCUUUCUCCUCCCUCACCACAUUGUGCUUCUUCCACAUACCUCUCUGCUACCUAAUGAUAUUUAAAUUAGGGGUUGGGUUCCGAGGCGCUGCCAUUGCUACAAGCGUUUCAAAUUGGGUGAAUGUUACAAUUCUGGCUACCUAUGUGAGGUUCUCGCCCCACUGCAAGCAGACAUGGACUGGGUUAUCUCGGGAGGCUUUCGAAGACCUCGCGGGCCUUUUCACGCUUGCAGUCCCCUCC
rnacentral:lncRNA from 1 species